GCGAACGCUGGCGGCAGGCCUAACACAUGCAAGUCGAGCGCCCCGCAAGGGGAGCGGCAGACGGGAGAGUAACACGUGGGAACGUACCCUUCAGUUCGGAACAACCCAGGGAAACUUGGGCUAAUACCGAAUACGUCCGUAAGGAGAAAGAUUUAUCGCUGGAGGAUCGGCCCGCGUCUGAUUAGCUAGUUGGUGAGGUAAUGGCUCACCAAGGCGACGAUCAGUAGCUGGUCUGAGAGGAUGAUCAGCCUCACUGGGACUGAGACACGGCCCAGACUCCUACGGGAGGCAGCAGUGGGGAAUAUUGGACAAUGGGCGCAAGCCUGAUCCAGCCAUGCCGCGUGGAUGAUGAAGGCCCUAGGGUUGUAAAGUCCUUUCGGCGGGGAAGAUAAUGACGGUACCCGCAGAAGAAGCCCCGGCUAACUUCGU
rnacentral:rRNA from 1 species